rnacentral:rRNA from 1 species
UCAGUCGACUCCUACGGGGAGGCAGCAGUGGGGAAUAUUGCACAAUGGGGGAAACCCUGAUGCAGCCAUGCCGCGUGUGUGAAGAAGGCCUUCGGGUUGUAAAGCACUUUCAGUAGGGAGGAAGGUAGUGUAGUUAACACCUGCAUUAUUUGACGUUACCUACAGAAGAAGCACCGGCUAACUCCGUGCCAGCAGCCGCGGUAAUACGGAGGGUGCGAGCGUUAAUCGGAAUUACUGGGCGUAAAGCGCAUGCAGGCGGCUUGUUAAGUCAGAUGUGAAAGCCCGGGGCUUAACCUCGGAAUUGCAUUUGAAACUGGCAGGCUAGAGUCUUGUAGAGGGGGGUAGGAAUUUCAGGUGUAGCGGUGAAAUGCGUAGAGAUCUGAAGGAAUACCAGUGGCGAAGGCGGCCCCCUGGACAAAGACUGACGCUCAGAUGCGAAAGCGUGGGGAGCAAACAGGAUUAGAUACCCUGGUAG